rnacentral:lncRNA from 1 species
CAGACAAGUCCUAGAUGAAAAAUUAGGACCGUGAUGGAGGAGACAGUGGUGGGCCACAUUACCCUUCCAAGUAAGAUCAAAUGGCCAGGUGAUAUGAAAGUGGAGAAAAUUACCAGUUACAAGCAAAGCAUUAAUUCAUUAGAAGCCAGCCGUUCUCUUCUGCUCCCAACAUCCCUCGGUCCCAUGGCAAGUUUUCAAAUUAAAGUGCUGAAGGCCCCCUCUCUCCUCUUCCUUCCAGGUGGCCAAGGUUGGCAGGACUGGAUGUUGUGGCAUGAAUAUUGUCUGGAACCAGCAAACCAGUAGCCCCACCCACCGCUAGCCCCAGACAGCCCUGGACCCUGCCAACUGGGAGGUGGCACCGCCACCCUGAGACAGG